rnacentral:rRNA from 1 species
UACGUAGGGUGCAAGCGUUAAUCGGAAUUACUGGGCGUAAAGCGUGCGCAGGCGGUUAUGCAAGACAGAGGUGAAAUCCCCGGGCUCAACCUGGGAACUGCCUUUGUGAUUGCAUAGCUAGAGUACGGUAGAGGGGGAUGGAAUUCCGCGUGUAGCAGUGAAAUGCGUAGAUAUGCGGAGGAACACCGAUGGCGAAGGCAAUCCCCUGGACCUGUACUGACGCUCAUGCACGAAAGCGUGGGGAGCAAACAGG